GACGAACGCUGGCGGCGUGCUUAACACAUGCAAGUCGAACGGAAAGGCCCUGCUUUUGUGGGGUGCUCGAGUGGCGAACGGGUGAGUAACACGUGAGUAACCUGCCCUUGACUUUGGGAUAACUUCAGGAAACUGGGGCUAAUACCGGAUAGGAGCUCCUGCUGCAUGGUGGGGGUUGGAAAGUUUCGGCGGUUGGGGAUGGACUCGCGGCUUAUCAGCUUGUUGGUGGGGUAGUGGCUUACCAAGGCUUUGACGGGUAGCCGGCCUGAGAGGGUGACCGGCCACAUUGGGACUGAGAUACAGCCCAGACUCCUACGGGAGGCAGCAGUGGGGAAUAUUGCACAAUGGGCGGAAGCCUGAUGCAGCAACGCCGCGUGCGGGAUGACGGCCUUCGGGUUGUAAACCGCUUUCACCUGUGACGAAGCGUGAGUGACGGUAAUGGGUAAAGAAGCACCGGCUAACUACGUG
rnacentral:rRNA from 1 species